rnacentral:rRNA from 1 species
UACGUAGGGUGCAAGCGUUUGUCCGGAAUUAUUGGGCGUAAAGAGCUCGUAGGCGGUUUGUCGCGUCUGCUGUGAAAACCCGAGGCUCAACCUCGGGCCUGCAGUGGGUACGGGCAGACUAGAGUGCGGUAGGGGAGAUUGGAAUUCCUGGUGUAGCGGUGAAAUGCGCAGAUAUCAGGAGGAACACCGGUGGCGAAGGCGGGUCUCUGGGCCGAUAUCGACGCUGAGGAGCGAAAGCGUGGGGAGCGAACAGG